rnacentral:rRNA from 1 species
UACGUAGGGGGCUAGCGUUGCUCGGAAUUACUGGGCGUAAAGGGCGCGUAGGCGGCACUGUUAGUCAGGCGUGAAAGUCCUGGGCUCAACCUGGGAACUGCGCUUGAUACGGCAGAGCUAGAGGAUGGAAGAGGCUCGCGGAAUUCCCAGUGUAGAGGUGAAAUUCGUAGAUAUUGGGAAGAACACCGGUGGCGAAGGCGGCGAGCUGGUCCAUUACUGACGCUGAGGCGCGACAGCGUGGGGAGCGAACAGG